UUUUCUGCUUAAUUUUUAAACCUUUGUGUGCUUUAAGGGGAAUUUAGUCAGCAUGUUUCUGAUUCACUUACCAUUACAUGAUCGGGUUGGUUCUUUGUUGCCAUUUGUGUGUGUGCACGUGUGUGUGUGUGCAUGUGUCGCUGGGGAGAUGCUUUAGGGGUACUUUUAGGGACUUUGACGAAUUUCUUGGGGUCGCCGGGGAGUGGAGAGGAAGGUUUCAUUCAGCCAAGGGGGAUCAAGUGCUAAAUCAAGAGGAGUGAAAGAGCUUCUAGAUUCAUGCCAGCAAUUCAGCCUGACCCAAAAAGAGAGGAAUCGUUUUUCUCAGAAUUUACUGUUGGAGAUGAAAGACAGGAUUUAGAGGUGCGACCAUGAGUAAGAGUCACAGAACCCAGUUUCACCCCCUGUUCUAUGCAUUUGGUCUGCAGCAAGUCUGGGGGAAAAAGGCACACCUUCUCAAUUAUCUGGCACAGAGAGAACCAAAAAGGAAAUGUUUGUAGUAGCUUAGAAAACAAGUAUCUGUGAUUGCAUACACAGUGAGGAGAAAGAGUAAAUGAGGUUAGGAGAAAAGAAAAAGCUGAAUGUAUGGGGAAAAGUGCAGAGUAUAGCUUUUUAGUGCUGGAGCAUGCUCAGUCCCUCAGCAAAUGCCUGAGUGGUUCCUAUGACCUUCAGUAGAUGGGGAACAAUUGAAGUUAACCUACACUUCAGCCACGCAAGCCAUUCCCAACAGCGAAUUCUUGGAGAGGAACAAUGCCAUUCUCUUAGGGAACCAAAUGUGGAUGGUACUAACAGGCGUCUGCCUUCCUUUUUCUCCAUUUCCAUAGCAAGCUGUUUCAAGGUGCUUCAUGAAAAGCUGCUCAAAACCAAUGUGUUCUAAAAGCCACAAGUUUGAUGACUGAUGAAAGAGUCACAAGAGAGAGUUUUUGCAUCUCUUCUUUAACAGAAAUCUUGAAAAGCCAAAUGACGGGGAAAGCACCUGAUUCAUCCUCUGCAAAUGCUGAAGAGUGUGCUUCACUGUCACCUCCUGCAUUUUGCAGCAGGGCCUAUUCAAAAGCUCCCCAAAGGAUGCGACUACCAUUCUGAGGAAGGAGAAAUAACUGAGUCAUGAGAAAUCUCACACUGAACUUUCAUUUAUGGAAAUUAUGGAUGUUUAAAUGUUACAAAUAGUCCCAUUUCUAUUCACAUUAUGUGAAACACAUACAGUCAGUCCUCAACUAUACAGUACUCCCUCCUGAAAAUGAAUUAUUCGGAACAGCUGAAUGUUCCAGAUGGCUUGAGGUUGGUUAACCCACUAAGUUUCAGCAAAAGUGUAGCAAAUAACUCUAAAACAGGCAGGUUUUGUCCGUCUCCCAUUUUCAGAGCACAGACCAUGCUUAGAGAUUAAUGAAAUUGUGUAAAGUUUGUUCUGCAAGUAUACACAGUGAAUACAGUGUUUAGUAUUUAAUAUAUAUCUCUAGAUGUAGUAGUAAUCUUGCUACUAUUUCUUCGACUAUAACCACUGUUCUUAAAGAUUAUUAAUCUUUUUAAUAAAUAUUGUAUUCGAGAUAGGCCA
ensembl:lncRNA